GGAUGAACGCUAGCGGCAGGCUUAACACAUGCAAGUCGAGGGGCAACGCGAGUAGCAAUACUUGGCGGCGACCGGCGCAAGGUGCGUAACGCGUGAGCAACAUGCCCGUAUCAGGGGGAUAAUCCAGGGAAACUUGGUCUAAUACCCCAUAGUAAUUUUGUAAGGCAUCUUAUAAGAUUUAAAGCUUUGGUGGAUACGGAUUGGCUCGCGUGACAUUAGCUGGAUGGUGAGGUAACGGCUUACCAUGGCUAUGAUGUCUAGGGGUUCUGAGAGGAAGGUCCCCCACACUGGAACUGAGACACGGUCCAGACUCCUACGGGAGGCAGCAGUGAGGAAUAUUGGACAAUGGAUGGAAAUCUGAUCCAGCCAUGCCGCGUGAAGGAAGAAAGGUCCUAUGGAUUGUAAACUUCUUUUGUAUGGGAGCAAUAAGGCCUACGAGUAGGUUGAUGAGAGUACCAUACGAAUAAGCACCGGCUAACUCCGUGCCAGCAGCAGC
rnacentral:rRNA from 1 species